rnacentral:rRNA from 1 species
UACGAAGGGGGCUAGCGUUGUUCGGAUUUACUGGGCGUAAAGCGCACGUAGGCGGUUUGUUAAGUCAGGGGUGAAAUCCCACAGCUCAACUGUGGAACUGCCUUUGAUACUGGCAAGCUAGAGUCCGGAAGAGGUAAGUGGAACUCCUAGUGUAGAGGUGGAAUUCGUAGAUAUUAGGAAGAACACCAGUGGCGAAGGCGGCUUACUGGGCCGGAACUGACGCUGAGGUGCGAAAGCGUGGGGAGCAAACAGG